GAUGAAGAACGCAGCGAAAUGCGAUAAGUAAUGUGAAUUGCAGAAUUCAGUGAAUCAUCGAAUCUUUGAACGCACAUUGCGCCCGCCAGUAUUCUGGCGGGCAUGCCUGUCUGAGCGUCAUUUCAACCCUCAAGCACAGCUUGGUGUUGGGACUCGCGUUAAUUCGCGUUCCUCAAAUUGAUUGGCGGUCACGUCGAGCUUCCAUAGCGUAGUAGUAAAACCCUCGUUACUGGUAAUCGUCGCGGCCACGCCGUUAAACCCCAACUUCUGAAUGUUGACCUCGGAUCAGGUAGGAAUACCCGCUGAACUUAAGCAUAUCAAUAAGCGGAGGA
rnacentral:misc_RNA from 1 species